rnacentral:lncRNA from 1 species
AACGGCUGAGAUCCGUUCCCGCGCGCACGGACGGUCCAGAUUAAAAGCGCAUAUGGACAGCCCAAAUCGCACGCGCACGGAUGGCUCAGAUUGAAUCAUGCACAGACGGUCCAGAUUCAUUUCCUUUUUAAUUGCGAUGGACGGUUCAGAUUAAAAGCGGAAUGCUAUAAAUAAUCUCAUCCACACCCAAACCCUAACCCUAGCCGCCAGAGCCCUUGCCGGAGAAGACAG